CGCGUAGGCGGCCAGCGCAAGUCAGUUGUGAAAUCUCCGGGCUUAACUCGGAACGGUCAACUGAUACUGCGCGGCUAGAGUGCGGAAGGGGCAACUGGAAUUCUCGGUGUAGCGGUGAAAUGCGUAGAUAUCGAGAGGAACACCCGCGGCGAAGGCGGGUUGCUGGGCCGACACUGACGCUGAUGCGCGAAAGCCAGGGGAGCGAACG
rnacentral:rRNA from 1 species